AACAGUCCCUAAAUCCCACAACUACUUGAUCUUAUCUGAGCGGAAGCCGGCGGCGGCGAUGGGCUUCUCUCCUUCCUCGCGAGGCCGUGAAGCGGCUCGAGGUCGCUGCCCCUGCGUCGAUCUUCGCCGCAGGUUCUCGGUAGCGUCUCGCAGCGCCGCCCGGUGCGCGUGGAUCCUUGUGAGAAGCCCUGAUCCAACCCCGGUCCCGCGAUGACGACUGCCCGCAAUCGGAGCACAAUGCCCUUUUCUAUCUAGGGUCUCUCAAAUUUGGUUUUUCACUGUGUUGAAUCAUUGACAUCAUUGUCAGGUGAGUGUGAGGAAUAAUAUGUCUGCAAUACUUGGCGUUCCAAAUUCCAUCAUUAAAUUAAUCAUACAUUGUAUGGUAUUUGAUUUCCUAUGUUUUCUCUAUAGUCUGUACAAUGUUUGAUUAUUUGGAUUGUCACCGCAUGUUGGGUAUAACAUGAGAGUAUGCUUCACUUCUAUGGUGCUGUAGAUGAGAAGUGUCUAUCCUUGUGACGUCUUGUUAAACAAUCCUGUUUGUCAUCCAUAAAAGUUGGUAGUUUUCUGUUUUCCAGUUUGAUAUUAUUUGGACAAGAAUUCUAAGAGGAGUUCAAAAUUAUUGAUGUUGAUUUAAAGUUUUAAACUAUUCCCUUAUCUGUGUUUUCUUGUAGGUCAUUGAUCUGUGAAAGCAAUAUGUACAGUAUGAUAAGCCAGAUGAGCUGGUGUUAGAAUUUUUCUUUCCUAUAGAGUUUGGUUUGUUUCUGGAAUGGAAAUGCAAAACAUCCUAUUUGAAUUUGAUCUUUCAUCUUUUAGCUGUAGAACAGAGGAUAGUUGAUGAGAUGAGGACUAAUUGGUUCGAAUAUAUCGUAUUUAUAAGAUUUGAAGAAUUUAUCUUGCCAAUAUAUUAACUGUCUUUUCUGUUCUUCAUCAAUGAAAAAGGAAAAGGAUUUGAACAGAGGAUAAUUGAUGAGGAAUAGUUGGAUUGAAUAUAUCGUAUUUACAAGAUCUGAAGAACUUAUCUUGCCAAUAUAUGAACUGUCUUUUCUAUUCUUCAUUAAAUGAAAAAGGAGAAGGAAAAUGAAGAGGGUUUGAACAGAAAAUAGUUGCUGGGGAAUAAUUGGAUUGAAUAUAUCGUAUUUACAAGAUUUGAAGAACUUAGAAGAGGUUUAUGACAUUGUUAGCAAGACUGGUACAAUGGAGACACCUUCAAAUUCAAGUUGUGAAUUUCUUUGGCUUCUUGGUUUGCUUCAUUGGUUGUUUGUUUGCACCUAUUAUCUAUAAACCUACAACCUCUUUUUAGUAGCUUGCCACAUAGAACCUUUAAGGAUCUGGUUGCUUGUCCAGUUUCUUCUAUACAUUCCAUUCUAGAAAAGCGUUUGUAUUCUAACAAAACACAAGCAAACACAGAGGUGAUUCAUGAGGCUAACAAUGAAAAGCUCCAUUCAUUAGGUAAGUUAUAGUACUUAGCAACUCCUUUUUCAAUGUUCUUGCAACUGGUAUGAUGGCCCAUGAUUUAUCUCCUUUGUUAGUUACCAGCAAAAUGAUUAGUAAAUGCAAGUCCUAUAGGAAUUGUUAAUGAAUCAUGAUAGUAACUAUUGUCUGUUUUAUUAAUUGCAGGCUCUUGAUUGUAUAAAGUGGAGGAAUCACAUGUGAAAUCAUGCCAGGCUCUUGUUGGCAUUCCAAGCAUUUGUAUGCACAAAUGUUGUACUAGUUGAAAUGUAGGAAAAAAGAUCUACUUUUUUACUGUAACAUAAGAGUUGGACAAAAGAUCUACUUUUUUAAUGUAUAAUAAUAAUACAUGCCCAAUUAUCA